rnacentral:rRNA from 1 species
UCCAUGAAGUCGGAAUCGCUAGUAAUCGCGAAUCAGAAUGUUGCGGUGAAUACGUUCCCGGGCCUUGUACACACCGCCCGUCACACCAUGGGAGUGGGUUGUACCAGAAGUAGAUAGCUUAACCUUUAGGAGGGCGUUUACCACGGUAUGAUUCAUGACUGGGGUGAAGUCGUAACAAGGUAACCGUAGGGGAACCUGCGGUUGGAUCACCUCCUUACCAAAGA